GCAAACUUUGAAGCAGCCAAUCCUGCUUAAGAACAUGAAAUCAAAAACAAAUGACAGGACAACGGGUUUCUCUUAUCCACCCUCCAGCCGAAAGGAGCAGGAGCAAAUAAGGAACAAGAAAAAAUAUCUUUGUAGUUUAUGUGGAAGUACCCUGACGGUAAGACAGCCUAUAACCGUCACCAGUUGAUCCAUACUGGCAAACGCCCAUUUUCAUGUGAUAUUUGUGGCAAGUCUUUCACCCAGAACAUGAGGCUGACAGUACAUUCACGUUCUCAUACAGGCGAGCGACCUUUUCUUUGCUCUCUCUGUGGAAAGCCUUU